GGCCCUGCACUUGUGGAGGUCCCCAGAGCUCCCUGGAUGCACCUGCUGGGCAGGUAGGAGUCGUGAGGGAAGCCGGCACCUUGCUCAGACAACGGAGCUUUCCCCAGGCCCCACUUACCACAGGAUCAAAGAGCCUCAGGCUUGUGUUGCUGCCCAUCUUACUCUCAUCGGGUCUGCCAGGGUGCAGGGGGCCUGGGUGUCCUGGGUGGGAGAAGGGAAGCAGAGAGAAUCUGCUGUCUUAGGUGGAGUGGGAGAUGGUCCUGGAGCAGAACCAAGGUGGGCAAAGGAAGAGGUGUGGAGGCCACUGUGACUCCUUCCAAGCCAGGAGUAACAUCUCUUUCUGCCUUUUUUAUUUGCAGGAUGUACCCAGAGCCUCUCUUUUUAUCGAACUUGCCAUACAGAGCAACUAGGGAAAUUUGGACUAUACCUGCAUUUAUCAGCUGGAUGUAAUACAGACAAUGGAUGUUACAUUUUAUCAGCACUUAUCAAGCCUUUCGUCAGGAGAAUGCAGAACAGUAGACUCACAUAAGGAGGUUGUGCCAGACUGGAUGGAGAUGACUCAUUUUAUUUUAAAUAAAGAUACUCUUACUCCUCA
rnacentral:lncRNA from 1 species